CCUACGGGAGGCAGCAGUGGGGAAUAUUGGGCAAUGGGCGCAAGCCUGACCCAGCAACGCCGCGUGAAGGAAGAAGGCUUUCGGGUUGUAAACUUCUUUUCAGAGGGAAGAAAAGAAGACGGUACCUCUUGAAUAAGCCACGGCUAACUACGUGCCAGGGGCCGCGGUAAUACGUAGGUGGCAAGCGUUUGCCGGAUUUACUGGGUGGAAAGGGCGUGCAGCCGGGCUGACAAGUCAGAUGUGAAAUCCCGCGGCUCAACCGGGGAACUGCAUUUGAAACUGUCAGUCUUGAGUACCGGAGAGGUCGUCGGAAGUCCUGGUGUAGCGGUGAAAUGCGUAGAUAUAAGGAAGAACACCAGUGGCGAAGGCGGAUGACUGGACGGCAACUGACGGUGAGGCGCGAAAGCGUGGGGAGCAAACAGGAUUAGAUACCCGUGUAGUC
rnacentral:rRNA from 1 species